GUCCUUUUGUUACUCAGGAGUGGAUAGUUAGGGUUUUCCUUUCUAACUAAAUUGUUCUAGGAAGUCAGUGUGAAACGGCCUUAGGUUCUCUGCCUCCAGACCCUAAUCUCCUGCCUCAGUCUCAGGCUACAGGCUGGAGGCAGAAGUGGGAGGAUUGCUUGAGCUCAGGAGGUUGAGGCUGCAGUGAACCGACAUCAUGUCACCGCACUCUAGCCUGGAUAAUGUUUUUCAACAAAUAUUAACCGCCUGGGAGGAAAUACAGAAGUGAACAAUCAAAUGAAAUAAAAAUAAAACUGAUGUUAAUAACAAUAAAGCCUCAAAUAGCAACGAACCCAGAGAGACAUCAACCUGGGCUUCCCAAUCAUCCAGGAGUUGUCCCAGAAAGGAUAAUCCAACAGAUGCAGCAGGCUAGAGUCCAAUGGACCCAUCUCAGCUCACUGCAGCCUUGACCUCCCCAACUCAAGCGAUCUGUCCACCUGCGUCUCCCAAAGUGUUGGGAUUACAGGAGUGAGCCACUGCACCUCGCCACGGAAAAUUUCAAUAAACAGCAUUGGAAUAACUGAUCAACAAUCUGAUGCCCUCAAAAUUAUUUUCAGGGUCUAUCAAUCAUCGCCGGGGAUAACUUCCUUCAGAGUCACAUUACCUGAUUAGAAUUCCACUUCCUGUUCUUCAGAAGUCUCGCCUUGGAUAGAUUUGACCUAAGGUAUUC
rnacentral:lncRNA from 10 species